GGAAGAUGGUGUCAUUGAUCGUGUUGUGAAAUGGCCACCACAUGCAUCCAUAAUCAUAAAGAGAUCCUUGAAAGAAGCUAAGAUCACUGUUGUGGAAGAGAAACUACAAGUUGUUCGCAAGAUAUAAUUGGGAGUAGGCUAUUGGUGCCCAGCUGUAGGUUGCGGGUAGGGUAUUAGGUGACUCUCUUGUGCUUAAAAACUCGUGUAAGCAGAGUUGUGGUUCGCUAUCUCCUGCAUGUGAUUCGAAUUUUCCUUUCCUCAUUAACAACUAACCCUAUAAGGCUUCUGGAUCGGUUACAACACCUUAUGUAAACGACAUUAAAUAAAU